CCUACGGGAGGCAGCAGUGAGGAAUAUUGGUCAAUGGGCGAGAGCCUGAACCAGCCAAGUCGCGUGAGGGAAGACGGCCCUAUGGAUUGUAAACCUCUUUUGUCGGGGAGCAAAAACGCCUCCCUGUGCCAGAAGUGAGAGUACCCGAAGAAAAAGCAUCGGCUAACUCCGUGCCGGCAGCCGCGGUAAUACGGGGGAUGCGAGCGUUAUCGGGAUUUAUUGGGUUAAAAGGGUGCGUAGGCGGACUGGAAAGUCAGCGGUAAAAUCGAGUGGCUCAACCUCUCUCCGCCGUUGAAACUGUCGUGCUUGAGUGGGCGAGAAGUAUGCGGAAUGCGUGGGGUAGCGGUGAAAUGCAUAGAUAUCACGCAGAACUCCGAUUGCGAAGGCAGCAUACCGGCGCCCGACUGACGCUGAGGCACGAAAGCGUGGGUAUCGAACAGGAUUAGAUACCCGAGUAGUC
rnacentral:rRNA from 1 species